GACGAACGCUGGCGGCGUGCCUAAUACAUGCAAGUAGAACGCUGAAGGAGGAGCUUGCUUCUCUGGAUGAGUUGCGAACGGGUGAGUAACGCGUAGGUAACCUGCCUGGUAGUGGGGGAUAACUAUUGGAAACGAUAGCUAAUACCGCAUAAUAGCAGUUGUUGCAUGAUAACUGUUUGAAAGGUGCAAUUGCACCGCUACCAGAUGGACCUGCGUUGUAUUAGCUAGUUGGUGGGGUAACGGCUCACCAAGGCGACGAUACAUAGCCGACCUGAGAGGGUGAUCGGCCACACUGGGACUGAGACACGGCCCAGACUCCUACGGGAGGCAGCAGUAGGGAAUCUUCGGCAAUGGACGGAAGUCUGACCGAGCAACGCCGCGUGAGUGAAGAAGGUUGUCGGAUCGUAAAGCUCGGUUGUAAGAGAAGAACGAGUGUGAGAGUGGAAAGUUCACACUGUGACGGUAUCUUACCAGAAAGGGACGGCUAACUACGUG
rnacentral:rRNA from 1 species